GACGAACGCUGGCGGCGUGCUUAACACAUGCAAGUCGAACGGAAAGGCCCUGCUUUUGUGGGGUGCUCGAGUGGCGAACGGGUGAGUAACACGUGAGUAACCUGCCCUUGACUUUGGGAUAACUUCAGGAAACUGGGGCUAAUACCGGAUAGGAGCUCCUGCUGCAUGGUGGGGGUUGGAAAGUUUCGGCGGUUGGGGAUGGACUCGCGGCUUAUCAGCUUGUUGGUGGGGUAGUGGCUUACCAAGGCUUCGACGGGUAGCCGGCCUGGGAGGGUGACCGGCCACAUUGGGACUGAGAUACGGCCCAGACUCCUACGGGAGGCAGCAGUGGGGAAUAUUGCACAAUGGGCGGAAGCCUGAUGCAGCAACGCCGCGUGCGGGAUGACGGCCUUCGGGUUGUAAACCGCUUUCGCCUGUGACGAAGCGUGAGUGACGGUAAUGGGUAAAGAAGCACCGGCUAACUACGU
rnacentral:rRNA from 1 species